AGGGCAGAAACAAAAGCAUAACCCUAGCUAGGACGUGUUUGGAGUUGGUUUGAGCGUAUUGAGGCAAUGACGCGACCUUACGGUGUGAAGGGGGGCCGGAAGCGAAAGCACGCCGAACCCAAAUACGACGAAGAAGACCAAGAAACGCAACCAAAAAAAGCUGUGGUGGAGGUGGAGCACAACAAAGAAGAAGAACAACAGCAACAAACACCAGAGGGGGAUGAAUUGAGCGGUAUCCCAAUUACGCCCAGUGAGAACAACACCAACAAACCCAACGUCAUCUUCAUUCUAGAAAAAGCUUCUUUGGAAGUCGCCAAAGUCGGCAAGACAUAUCAGCUCUUAAACUCCGACGACCAUGCCAAUUUCCUCCGCAAAAAUAACAAGAAUCCCGGAGAUUACAGGCCUGACAUUACUCAUCAGUCCCUUUUAUCUAUUUUGGAUAGCCCACUAAAUAAAGCUGGGAGAUUGCGGUCGGUAUACAUAAGGACUGAAAAAGGUGUUCUUAUAGAGGUUAAGCCCUUUGUUCGUAUUCCAAGAACAUUCAAACGCUUUGCUGGUGUCAUGUUGGAAUUGCUUCAAAAAUUGAGCAUAUCUGCUGUUGGCAAGCGCGAGAAACUUCUCCGAACCAUCAAAAACCCUGUCACGCAGUAUUUGCCUAUCAACUCACGAAAAAUAGGUCUAUCGUAUAGUUCAGAAAAGCUUGUAGAUAUGGAUGACUAUGUAUCAACUGUUCCCAGCAAUAUGGACCUUGUCUUUGUGGUAGGAGCAAUGGCCCAUGGGAAGAUUGAGACAGAUUAUACAGAAGAUUAUGUAGCAAGUGUGUAUUAGCUGAUUGCCAUGUCUCUUUAUGUAUGAACUUUGUACUUGUUUAUGAACAAUGGCCAAUGUUGGACUAGACUAGCUUUGAUAAUAUUGGCAAAUACAAAUACACGGAUCAGCUGAGCAUUUCGGGGUACCCUCUAAGUGCUGCUUAUUGUAUUACAAGGAUUACUGGUGCCCUUGAGAGAAAGUGGAAGAUUUUGUGAUUUAACACCACCUUCAGUUCAUGCAUGAGAGACGAUUUAGUAAUACCAGUUCCGUAGUCAAUUUAUGUAAUACAAGGGAUAGGGCCUUGCCUAGCAGUGAUAUAGGAAAUAAUUUUUUUCUGAGGCAUUAAUAUUAUUUUGUUAAAGGAUGCUUAUAGAAGCCAAAUCUAAAUGUUGCUUAUACUGCGCUGAGAUACGCUGCUUGGGAGUUACUAUU